GGCUCAUUAAAUCAGUUAUCGUUUAUUUGAUAGUACCUUACUACUUGGAUAACCGUGGUAAUUCUAGAGCUAAUACAUGCUGAAAACCCCAACUUCGGGAGGGGUGUAUUUAUUAGAUAAAAAACCAACGCCCUUCGGGGCUUCUUGGUGAUUCAUGAUAACUUUACGGAUCGCAUGGCCUUGCGCCGGCGACGGUUCAUUCAAAUUUCUGCCCUAUCAACUUUCGAUGGUAAGGUAUUGGCUUACCAUGGUUUCAACGGGUAACGGGGAAUUAGGGUUCGAUUCCGGAGAGGGAGCCUGAGAAACGGCUACCACAUCCAAGGAAGGCAGCAGGCGCGCAAAUUACCCAAUCCCGACACGGGGAGGUAGUGACAAUAAAUACUGAUACAGGGCUCUUUUGGGUCUUGUAAUUGGAAUGAGUACAAUUUAAACCUCUUAACGAGGAACAAUUGGAGGGCAAGUCUGGUGCCAGCAGCCGCGGUAAUUCCAGCUCCAAUAGCGUAUAUUAAAGUUGUUGCAGUUAAAAAGCUCGUAGUUGAACCUUGGGUCUGGCUGGCAGGUCCGCCUCACCGCGUGUACUUGUCCGGCCGGGCCUUCCUUCUGGAGAACCUCAUGCCCUUCACUGGGCGUGUUGGGGACCAGGACUUUUACUUUGAAAAAAUUAGAGUGUUCAAAGCAGGCCUUUGCUCGAAUACGUUAGCAUGGAAUAAUAGAAUAGGACGUGCGGUCCUAUUUUGUUGGUUUCUAGGACCGCCGUAAUGAUUAAUAGGGACAGUCGGGGGCAUCAGUAUUCAAUUGUCAGAGGUGAAAUUCUUGGAUUUAUUGAAGACUAACUACUGCGAAAGCAUUUGCCAAGGAUGUUUUCAUUAAUCAGUGAACGAAAGUUAGGGGAUCGAAGACGAUCAGAUACCGUCGUAGUCUUAACCGUAAACUAUGCCGACUAGGGAUCGGGCGAUGUUCUUUUUCUGACUCGCUCGGCACCUUACGAGAAA
rnacentral:rRNA from 1 species